rnacentral:rRNA from 1 species
UACGUAGGGUGCAAGCGUUAAUCGGAAUUACUGGGCGUAAAGCGUGCGCAGGCGGUUGUGCAAGACAGAUGUGAAAUCCCCGGGCUUAACCUGGGAAUUGCAUUUGUGACUGUACGGCUAGAGUGUGUCAGAGGGGGGUAGGAAUUCCACGUGUAGCAGUGAAAUGCGUAGAGAUGUGGAGGAAUACCGAUGGCGAAGGCAGCCCCCUGGGAUAACACUGACGCUCAUGCACGAAAGCGUGGGGAGCAAACAGG